AUGUUAGCAGUUCAAACAUGAAGCAAAAACAACUUCUCCUACCAGAAGCAGUGGAUAAGCCAAUCCGUAAAGUUGAAGAUGUGACCCCACCAGAAGCAAUAGAACCACAGAAGAAGGUUAGAAAAUGUGAGCUGGCCAUAGGCACCAAGGAAAAUAUAGUGGCAGGUGG